AUGAACGCUGGCGGCGUGCCUAAUCCCUGCAAGUCGCGCGAACAGACGAGGAGCUUGCUCCUCUGACGUUAGCGGCGGACGGGUGAGUAACACGUGGAUAACCUACCUAUAAGACUGGGAUAACUUCGGGAAACCGGAGCUAAUACCGGAUAAUAUAUUGAACCGCAUGGUUCAAUAGUGAAGGACGGUUUUGCUGUCACUUAUAGAUGGAUCCGCGCCGCAUUAGCUAGUUGGUAAGGUAACGGCUUACCAAGGCGACGAUGCGUAGCCGACCUGAGAGGGUGAUCGGCCACACUGGAACUGAGACACGGUCCAGACUCCUACGGGAGGCAGCAGUAGGGAAUCUUCCGCAAUGGGCGAAAGCCUGACGGAGCAACGCCGCGUGAGUGAUGAAGGUCUUCGGAUCGUAAAACUCUGUUAUUAGGGAAGAACAAAUGUGUAAGUAACUAUGCACGUCUUGACGGUACCUAAUCAGAAAGCCACGGCUAACUACGUG
rnacentral:rRNA from 1 species